rnacentral:ribozyme from 1 species
AGAAGAAGAAGAAGAAGGCAUUUCUCAUCACCAAGCCAAGCACACGAGACUUUUUCUUUUCUUUUCUUUUUUUUUUUUUUUUUUU